UUAACUAGGAUUAGAUACCCUAUUAUAUGAGCAGUAAAAAAACACAGCACCAGAGAACUACGAAUUAAAAUUUAAAACUCAAAGGACUUGGCGGUUUUUUAGACCUUCCUGGAGGAGCUUGCUAUUCAACCGAUAACCCACGAAAUACCUCACCAAUUUUUGAAAAAUUCAACCUGUAUACCAUCGUCGUCAGUCUACCUCUCAAGAGAAGUUUUCAUAACGAAUGACCCCUCUCAACGUCAGAUCGAGGUGCAGUCUAUAAAUUGGCAAUAAGUGAGCUACAAUAAAUCUUCAAUGAUAAACCACAAAUAUGAAUGGUUUCCUGAAAGGGAGACUUAAAAUAGGAUUCAGCAGUAAUACUCACAAGAAAAUGA
rnacentral:rRNA from 1 species